rnacentral:rRNA from 1 species
AUUGAACGCUGGCGGCAGGCUUAACACAUGCAAGUCGAGCGGGGGAAGGUAGCUUGCUACUGGACCUAGCGGCGGACGGGCGAGUAAUGCUUAGGAAUCUGCCUAUUAGUGGGGGACAACAUCUCGAAAGGGAUGCUAAUACCGCAUACGUCCUACGGGAGAAAGCAGGGGAUCUUCGGACCUUGCGCUAAUAGAUGAGCCUAAGUCGGAUUAGCUAGUUGGUGGGGUAAAGGCCUACCAAGGCGACGAUCUGUAGCGGGUCUGAGAGGAUGAUCCGCCACACUGGGACUGAGACACGGCCCAGACUCCUACGGGAGGCAGCAGUGGGGAAUAUUGGACAAUGGGGGGAACCCUGAUCCAGCCAUGCCGCGCGUGUGAAGAAGGCCUUAUGGUUGUAAAGCACUUUAAGCGAGGAGGAGGCUACUCUAGUUAAUACCUAGGGAUAGUGGACGUUACUCGCAGAAUAAGCACCGGCUAACUCUGUGCCAGCCGCCGCGGUAA